GACGAACGCUGGCGGCGUGCCUAAUACAUGCAAGUAGAACGAGUUGCGAACGGGUGAGUAACGCGUGGUAACCUGCCUCAUCGCGGGGGAUAACUAUUGGAAACGGUAGAUAAUACCGCAUACCAUCAGAUGUGACCAGAUGGGAUUAGCUAGUAGGUGGGGUAACGGCUCACCUGGGCGACGAUCCCUAGCUGGUCUGAGAGGAUGACCAGCCACACUGGAACUUAGACACGGUCCAGAAUCUUACGGAAGGCAGCAGUGGGGAAGAUGGCACAAUGGGCGCAAGCCUGAUGCAGCCAUGCCUCGUGUGUGAAGAAGGCCUUCGGGUUGUAAAGCACUUUCAGCGGGGGGGCGUUACCCGCAGAAGAAGCACCGGCUAACUCCGUGCCAGCAGCCGCGGUAAUUC
rnacentral:rRNA from 1 species